rnacentral:lncRNA from 10 species
GCCUUCCUGGAUGCAGAUAUACACAAAGAUGGAAGCUGGGCGGAGGCUGAUGCCAUCUUUGGACAGCAGUUGGUCUCCUGCCGUGCUGUGUCUAGACGAACGCCAAAGAUCUGCACUUUCACCAGUGGAUCCACAAUGGACCCCUCUUUGGUCUUGUCCACUUUGGGGAGUUGCUGACCGCUGAUCACCUGUAGUCAGGGCUCUGGAAUCUCACAAGUUCCUGCUCAGCCCAGCCCCACCCGACCCUACUCCCAACCCCAGGGGAGAAGAAGCUUUUUGGUUUGUAAAACAUCCUCCAUGGGUAAUAUAUUUUCUUCUAGUAUUCUAUCUGCAAUUUAAAAUGCACCCAAAGGCCGGGCACGGUGGCUCACACCUGUAAUCCCAACACUUCAGGAGGCCGAGGUGGGCAGAUCACUUGAAACCAGGAGACCAGCCUGGCCAACAUGGUGAAACCCUAUCUCUACUAAAAAUACAAAAAUUAGCCAGGCAUGGUGGCGGGCGCCUGUAGUCCCAGCUACUCGGAAGGCUCAGAUGGGAGAAUCACUUGAACCCAGGAGGCGGAGGUUGCAGUGAGCCAAGAUCAUGCCACUGCACUCCAGCCUGCAGCAGAGCAAGACUCUGUCUCAGAAUAAACAAAUAAAUUAAAUGGAUCCAGGUAGAAAUUCAACAGUUUGAAAGUAGGCAUGCUAAUGACAGCAGCCACUUUUUUUUUUUCAAAGAGACACGAUCAUACUCUUGACCAAGCUGGAAUGCAGUGGGGCAGUCAUAGCUCACUGCAACCUCCAUCUCCUGGGCUAAAGUGACCCUCCAGCCUUAGCCUCCUGAGUAGCCAGGACUAUCUAUAGUCAUGUGCCACCAUGCCAGGCUAAUUUUUAAAUUUUUUGUAGAGACGGGAGUCUCUACAAAAUUUUUAAAUUUUUUGUUGAGACCAGUUUCAGACUGGUCUCAAACUCCUGGGCUCAAGCAGUCCUCCUGCCUUGGCCUCCAAAGCGCUGGGAUUACAGGUGUAAGCUAUCGCUCCCAGCCAGCCUCUUUUAUAGCACUUCCUGUGUGCCAGGAAUUGUAAGAACUUUAUAUUAACUGUUAUACUCCUUAUAACCCUGUGAGGCAGGUGGUAGUGUUACCCCUAUUUUGCAGGUGAGCAGACUGAGGUAUGGAGAGGUUAAGGAACUUGCCCAACAUUACCCAAUUAGGAAGUUGUGGUUUGAAGCUAGGCAGCUGGCUCCAAAAGCUAAAACUAGACACUGUUAAUAGGCUAUCCGGCCUCUACAUUCCGGUCAGGCCUAGCCACCUCUUCCCUCACUUCUAUCCCAGUUAUCUCAGUUUCUUCCCAACAGUUUAUUUCCACUGUACCUGGAUUAAGAGAGUCUGGGCUUUGAAAGGGCUGAUGGGCUUCUCAGGGUGGAAAGAACUCUGGAUAUCACGCAGGAAGUCUGGCUUCAGCACAUAGCCACAGCCGCCAUUCUGGCGGAAAUGCCCAUCACAGAUGUCCAUUUCAAGCCCUGCAGUCUGCAUAUUCAUGGCCACUGAGGGCCCCAGGAGAAAAGAAGAGCAAGAUUCACCAUGGAGGCCUUCCAGCCCCUCUUUCAGGGAGUUAAGAAGAUAGGUACUGGGUGCACGGUACCUGCUGGUAAUAUCCACUGAUAGCAUUUCUCAGCCUAGCAAUUUUCUUGAGCAUUCCCCAACCCUACCAUCACUAGAGAACUUAUUUCCCACCUGCUGCUCCUCCACUCCCUCUUCCCAGUCCCUGCUGCCUCCUCACCCAUCUGGCAGCCUGCAUUCCAGAGUUCCUGGGGGUUGUAGUUGGAAGAGUCUGUCCUCAGGCCGCUGGG